GAUGAAGUGAAAAAGGGAAGAGAUGCAUCAGACUGAAGCCUGGAUUCUUAUACUUCAUCACUGAAGAAGACGAUUAAUUUCGCAUGAAGAAUGGAAGCAGGGGGAAGCAGCGAACCUGACUAUGGCCAAAUGUGGCCAUUCAAGAUCCAGUUCUCUCACAGAUAAGCUGCCCUGAUCCUCAAGAGAAGGAGAGAGUCUCAAAGAAUGGGCUAUUACCAUCAGCGGAGAGACAGAGCCAGAUCUCAUUGUCCUGGAAC